rnacentral:rRNA from 1 species
CGGCGGACGGGUGCGUAACACGUAGGAAUCUGCCCGGUAGUGGGGGAUAGCCCGGAGAAAUUCGGAUUAAUACCGCAUACGCCCUAAGGGGGAAAGCAGGGGAUCGGUUCGCCGACCUUGCGCUAUCGGAUGAGCCUGCGUCGGAUUAGCUAGUUGGUGGGGUAAAGGCCCACCAAGGCGACGAUCCGUAGCUGGUCUGAGAGGAUGAUCAGCCACACUGGGACUGAGACACGGCCCAGACUCCUACGGGAGGCAGCAGUGGGGAAUAUUGCACAAUGGGCGAAAGCCUGAUGCAGCCAUGCCGCGUGUGUGAAGAAGGCCCUAGGGUUGUAAAGCACUUUCAGUGGGGAGGAAAGGGAGAUUGCUAAUAUCAGUCUCCUGUGACGUUACCCACAGAAGAAGCACCGGCUAACUCCGUGCCAGCAGCCGCGGUAAUACGGAGGGUGCGAGCGUUAAUCGGAAUUACUGGGCGUAAAGCGUGCGUAGGCGGCUUUUUAAGUUGGAUGUGAAAGCCCCGGGCUUAACCUGGGAACUGCAUCCAAAACUGGAAGGCUUGAGUGCGAGAGAGGAGUGUGGAAUUUCCUGUGUAGCGGUGAAAU